rnacentral:tRNA from 1 species
GCCCGGCUAGCUCAAUGGCCAGAGCGUGGGACUUUUAAGCAGAAGAGAUCCCAAGGUUGCGGGUUCGACCCCCGCGUCGGGCG